AACGAACGCUGGCGGCAGGCUUAACACAUGCGAGUCGAGCGCCCCGCCAGGGGAGCGGCAGACGGGUGAGUAACGCGUGGGAACGUACCUUUUGGUUCGGAACAACUCCGGGAAACUGGAGCUAAUACCGGAUAAGCCCUAACGGGGAAAGAUUUAUCGCCGAAAGAUCGGCCCGCGUCUGAUUAGCUAGUUGGUGAGGUAACGGCUCACCAAGGCGACGAUCAGUAGCUGGUCUGAGAGGAUGAUCAGCCACACUGGGACUGAGACACGGCCCAGACUCCUACGGGAGGCAGCAGUGGGGAAUAUUGGACAAUGGGCGCAAGCCUGAUCCAGCCAUGCCGCGUGAGUGAUGAAGGCCUUAGGGUUGUAAAGCUCUUUUGUCCGGGAAGAUAAUGACUGUACCGGAAGAAUAAGCCCCGGCUAACUUCGUG
rnacentral:rRNA from 1 species